CUCGUUUAGAUUGAAGGAGCUUGCUCCUGAUUGAUAAACAUUUGAGUGAGUGGCGGACGGGUGAGUAACACGUGGGUAACCUGCCCUAAAGUGGGGGAUAACAUUUGGAAACAGAUGCUAAUACCGCAUAAAACCUAACACCGCAUGGUGUAGGGUUGAAAGAUGGUUUCGGCUAUCACUUUAGGAUGGACCCGCGGUGCAUUAGUUAGUUGGUGAGGUAAAGGCUCACCAAGACCGUGAUGCAUAGCCGACCUGAGAGGGUAAUCGGCCACACUGGGACUGAGACACGGCCCAGACUCCUACGGGAGGCAGCAGUAGGGAAUCUUCCACAAUGGACGAAAGUCUGAUGGAGCAACGCCGCGUGAGUGAAGAAGGUUUUCGGAUCGUAAAACUCUGUUGUUGGAGAAGAAUGUAUCUGAUAGUAACUGAUCAGGUAGUGACGGUAUCCAACCAGAAAGCCACGGCUAACUACGUGCCAGCAGCCGCGGUAAUACGUAGGUGGCAAGCGUUGUCCGGAUUUAUUGGGCGUAAAGCGAGCGCAGGCGGUUUCUUAAGUCUGAUGUGAAAGCCUUCGGCUCAACCGAAGAAGUGCAUCGGAAACUGGGAAACUUGAGUGCAGAAGAGGACAGUGGAACUCCAUGUGUAGCGGUGAAAUGCGUAGAUAUAUGGAAGAACACCAGUGGCGAAGGCGG
rnacentral:rRNA from 1 species